AUUGGACAAAUUGUAAAGGAUGUCAAAGCGUAUCAAGAUGUGCACUGGAGGUGUUUCCCUGUGGAACAAGAAAAACUGCCUCGGGUUUCAUCUCUUUUUAUUAUUCUCAACUCUCUUCUCACCAUUGUGGAGUGCAAGAGUGAGAAAGCUGAGACCAAGGAAGGUGCAGUAACACAAACUCUGGGUCCUAAAAGCCUGCAUGGAAGAUUUCAGCGCUCUUGUGAGGCGUUCUCCGUGAGGCUGCGCCACACUUCAGCUCAGAGAUGGCUCUGUGGUCAUGGAGCUGGCCUCGUAGGGAUUCCUCACCAGCUUGGCGCACCGAAAAAUCAUCACUACGAGGAAGAGAAACAGGAGCACAAGAAAGACGAUGGCAAAGCCUUGGUCCACGUCCACACUGCUGGACAGGCUCGCCUCUCCCAUGGGGACAGGCACUGCUCCACGGCUGUCCAGCUGCAGCUACCUCUCCAGGUGUGUCUUCAGAUUGGUCAUAAUCCUAGGCAAAAGAAGAGAAAACAAGUUUGUGUGUGUGUGUGUGUGUGUGUGUGUGUGUGUGUGUGUGUGUGUCUGCAUUUCCUCCUAACACUGUGGAAACCAAAUAAGGGCCAAGGUUUGGAAAAAAAAAAUCAUCAAGAUUCAUGUAAGAAGCACUUCAGAAACCAAGAAAGCUAAUACAGAUGACUAAAAAGACCUGCGCGUACAUAAAAGCAUAAGUCAUCUGAGGACUUCCUCCAAGGCAAAACACAAGGGCCGCGGUUGUGAGGCCCCCCCCAGAGGUCUGUAUACAAAGGUUUGGUCCCCAGAGUAGUAGUGUUUGGAGGUGCCAUGGCGGUGAGGCCUCAUGGGAGCCACACUCUUGAAAGGGAUUAUGCGUCUCUAUCUCCUCUUCCUCCAUUUCCUGGCUUGAGCUGUGAGCACCCGUCUGGUAAAUGCUGCCUUCAGCAGAGGCCCAAAUGAACAGGGCCGCCCAGUCCGGACUUGAACUUCGGAACUAUGAGCCUCUCUUUACUCCAUCGAUAGCCUGUGUCUGGUCUUUCGCUAUACAGUGAUGCAAAGCCAACCCAUACAGUGAGUAAGUGUAUGUAACCCAGAAAUCAGCUGGUGCAGCUUUUCCUUGCCAGAUGCAGGUAAAACUAUCUUGAACAUCUCAUAUCUGCACGAAGUCCAAAUCCCUCUAAGAUUUUUUCAAAUUCCCAUUCCCCCACUCCCCACUCUGGAUCAUUAUGUUUGACUGUGUUGUUAUUCUCAAAAUGAAAAAUCAGGUAUAUCCCAGAAGGGAUCAAUUUCAGUUUUUAAAAUUUAGUUCACCCAACAAUUCUGGAAAAUAAUAAAGUAAUGAGACACACUUUCCAACUUCAAGACUCAUUACAAAGCUACAGAGAUCAAAACAGUAUGAUACUGGAGUAAAGCAACAUCCCCCCU
rnacentral:lncRNA from 1 species